UACGUGGGGGGCAAGCGUUGUCCGGAUUUAUUGGGCGUAAAGAGCUCGUAGGUGGUUCGGUAAGUCGGAUGUGAAAUCUCCAGGCUCAACCUGGAGGGGUCAUUCGAUACUGCCGUGACUAGAGUUCGGUAGGGGAGUGUGGAAUUCCUGGUGGAGCGGUGAAAUGCGCAGAUAUCAGGAGGAACACCCGUAGCGAAGGCGGCACUCUGGGCCGAUACUGACACUGAGGAGCGAAAGCGUGGGGAGCGAACAGG
rnacentral:rRNA from 1 species